UAAGGAAUAUUGGUCAAUGGACGCAAGUCUGAACCAGCCAUGCCGCGUGAAGGAUGAAGGUCCUCUGGAUUGUAAACUUCUUUUAUCUGGGACGAAAACGGGAUUUUUAUCUCAAUUGACGGUACCAGAGGAAUAAGCACCGGCUAACUCCGUGCCAGCAGCCGCGGUAAUACGGAGGGUGCGAGCGUUAUCCGGAUUUACUGGGUUUAAAGGGUGCGUAGGUGGUUGUUUAAGUCUGAUGUGAAAGCCCUGGGCUCGACCUGGGAAUGGCAUUGGAAACUGGGCAGCUAGAGUGCGGUAGAGGGUAGUGGAAUUCCCGGUGUAGCAGUGAAAUGCGUAGAGAUCGGGAGGAACAUCUGUGGCGAAGGCGACUGCCUGGACCAGCACUGACACUGAGGCACGAAAGCGUGGGGAGCAAACA
rnacentral:rRNA from 1 species